rnacentral:rRNA from 1 species
ACGCAUGCGCUCUACCAUGCAGUCGAACGGUGAAGCCCAGCUUGCUGGGUGGAUCAGUGGCGAACGGGUGAGUAACACGUGAGCAACCUGCCCCUGACUCUGGGAUAAGCGCUGGAAACGGCGUCUAAUACUGGAUACGAGGAGCGACCGCAUGGUCAGCUUCUGGAAAGAUUUUUUGGUUGGGGAUGGGCUCGCGGCCUAUCAGCUUGUUGGUGAGGUAAUGGCUCACCAAGGCGUCGACGGGUAGCCGGCCUGAGAGGGUGACCGGCCACACUGGGACUGAGACACGGCCCAGACUCCUACGGGAGGCAGCAGUGGGGAAUAUUGCACAAUGGGCGGAAGCCUGAUGCAGCAACGCCGCGUGAGGGAUGACGGCCUUCGGGUUGUAAACCUCUUUUAGCAGGGAAGAAGCGAAAGUGACGGUACCUGCAGAAAAAGCGCCGGCUAACUACGUGCCAGCAGCCGCGGUAAUACGUAGGGCGCAAGCGUUAUCCGGAAUUAUUGGGCGUAAAGAGCUCGUAGGCGGUUUGUCGCGUCUGCUGUGAAAUCCCGAGGCUCAACCUCGGGCCUGCAGUGGGUACGGGCAGACUAGAGUGCGGUAGGGGAGAUUGGAAUUCCUGGUGUAGCGGUGGAAUGCGCAGAUAUCAGGAGGAACACCGAUGGCGAAGGCAGAUCUCUGGGCCGUAACUGACGCUGAGGAGCGAAAGGGUGGGGAGCAAACAGGCUUAGAUACCCUGGUAGUCCACCCCGUAAACGUUGGGAACUAGUUGUGGGGUCCAUUCCACGGAUUCCGUGACGCAGCUAACGCAUUAAGUUCCCCGCCUGGGGAGUACGGCCGCAAGGCUAAAACUCAAAGGAAUUGACGGGGACCCGCACAAGCGGCGGAGCAUGCGGAUUAAUUCGAUGCAACGCGAAGAACCUUACCAAGGCUUGACAUAUACGAGAACGGGCCAGAAAUGGUCAACUCUUUGGACACUCGUAAACAGGUGGUGCAUGGUUGUCGUCAGCUCGUGUCGUGAGAUGUUGGGUUAAGUCCCGCAACGAGCGCAACCCUCGUUCUAUGUUGCCAGCACGUAAUGGUGGGAACUCAUGGGAUACUGCCGGGGUCAACUCGGAGGAAGGUGGGGAUGACGUCAAAUCAUCAUGCCCCUUAUGUCUUGGGCUUCACGCAUGCUACAAUGGCCGGUACAAAGGGCUGCAAUACCGUGAGGUGGAGCGAAUCCCAAAAAGCCGGUCCCAGUUCGGAUUGAGGUCUGCAACUCGACCUCAUGAAGUCGGAGUCGCUAGUAAUCGCAGAUCAGCAACGCUGCGGUGAAUACGUUCCCGGGUCUUGUACACACCGCCCGUCAAGUCAUGAAAGUCGGUAACACCUGAAGCCGGUGGCCUAACCCUUGUGGAGGAGCCGUCGAAGGUGAUUCGUA